rnacentral:rRNA from 1 species
AUUGAACGCUGGCGGCAGGCUUAACACAUGCAAGUCGAGCGGAGUGGCGCACGGGUGAGUAAUGUAUAGCUAAUCUGCCCUACACUAGAGGACAACAGUUGGAAACGACUGCUAAUACUCUAUAGUGUAGGAUGAGGCUAUAUUGUAUCAGCUAGUUGGUGAGGUAAUGGCUCACCAAGGCUAUGACGCAUAACUGGUCUGAGAGGAUGAUCAGUCACACUGGAACUGAGACACGUUCCAGACUCCUACGGGAGGCAGCAGUGGGUAAUAUUGCUCAAGGGGGGAAACCCUGAAGCACCACCGCCGCGUGGAGGAUGACACUUUCGGAGCGUAAACUCCUUUUGUUAGGGAAGCGGUACCUAACGAAUAAGCACCGGCUAACUCCGUGCCAGCAGCCGCGGUAAUAC